GGAGGCGUCUCACCAGACAGAGGUGUAGACGGGCCAGGGGAGGCGUCUCACCAGACAGAGGUGUAGACGGGCCAGGGGAGGUGUCUCACCAGACAGACGUGUAGACGGGCCAGGUUUCCACAGUCGUUCAUGCAGUGGUAUUUUGUACUGAGCUCUGUUCUGAUUCUCUCUUCUGGUAGCUUCUCAUCUCCCAGACAUGUCAUUCUGUGUGGAAGCGUAGGUUUGAGACCUUCCUUAAGAGAGGAAAGCUUAUCUUUAGUUUAUAGAAAUAAAAACAAAACUGUAUUUCCAAGCAAAACUGACUUUAUGUAGGUGUCUCCAGAGAUGCAGCUUCAGCCGCCCUCGCAGAUGCCGCUUCAGCCGCCCUCGCAGAUGCCGCUGAGGAGCUGCUGGACCGUCUUGCGUCACACAGCAUGCCGCCCUCAGACGUGUCCAUCCUGUACCACAUGAAAACGCUGCUGCUCCUGCAAGAUACUGAGAGAUUGAAGCAUGCUCUGGAAAUGUUCCCAGAACAUUGCACGAUGCCUCCUGACCAUGCCAGAGUAAUCUCAGCUUUCUUUAGUUACUGGAUCACACAUAUCCUUCC
rnacentral:sRNA from 1 species